GGCCCUAUAGUAUAACUGGAUAGUACACCCGCCUCCUAAGCGGUCGAUUCCGGUUCGAUUCCGGAUGGGGCUA
rfam:Lactobacillus gastricus PS3 contig00092, whole genome shotgun sequence.